CUCCGCCCCUGCCGCCGCGCGGCCCACGGACCGGCUGCCGUCCGCGGGGUCUCUCCGAGUCUUCCAUCUGUCUCUUCGUCCCGAUCCAAAUUCUCCCCAAUUCCUCAUCUCAGAUCCACUCAAGCCUCCAACCCUAGCAGCUGGCGGCGCCGGCGGCCGGGCCAUCCGACAAGCGGCCGAGAGGCAGGCGAUAGGCGUGCCGGCAGCGCCUUGAGCUUCGAGGCCAGUGCGGGCGCUCGGCUUGGCGCACGGGCGGGCGGGCAGCGAUGGCUUCCUCCGCCGCAGUGGCGCGGCUGCGGGAGCUGACGACGGCCCCGACGCGGUUGCGCUCGCCAAGUGCUGCGCGGAGCUCGUGCGCCCCGGCGGCGGCGACGCCGAGGCCGCGCACGAGGGUGCUGGAGGCGCUUUGCGCUGCAGGCGGAGGGGACGCGAUGCGGAGCCACGCCGACGGGCUCGCACCGCUGGUCGUCGCGCGGCUUGGGGACGGGGAUGCGGCUGUGCGGGAGGCCGCUAGGAGGUUCCUCGUGGUGCUCAUGGAGGCUGCUCAUGGAGAUGUUUCAAGCAACAUCUACAGCUGCCAAGCCGUUCCACCACUUCACCACUGCCACCUCCCUACUACCUGUUAUGGUGCUUCUAUAGGAAAAUACAGUAAAGGUUGGCUAGGUGAGUCUUGUGGCGCCUGGAGUUGGAUUACAGAUGAACUUUUUGGAAGAUGGUAAUAUGCUAUACCCUUUCUUCUUUCUCUGUUUGGCUAUCUAUGAAGCUAAACUGAUGAUAAAAGGAUGGUGUGCUUUAUCCAUUUCACUUCUGCAGGUAACAGUGUGGCUUAAGCAUUAUUAUUCUGAACUAAUUGGUUUGGUAAUGACAUUGCAAAGUAUAUGCUGCAUUUGUGUUGCACUUGAACUCUAUUCAUGUUGGUUCUUGCUGAUUGCACCUGCUUCUUGCAGGGAUUUGACCGGGUGAGCUUACGACCGUGUGCACAGAUAAGUCUCCCUUUUUCUAUUCACCCCUUUUUCAUCUAUGUUGGAGUGCAUAUGUAUGUGUGUGAUUAAAUGGAAAAUGUAAGCACAUAUUUGGAAGUUACAGAUGAAGACUUUCUGGAAGAUGGUAAUAUGCUAUACCCCUUCUUCUUUCUCUGUUUGCCUAUCUAUGAAGCUAAACUGAUGAUAAAAGGAUGGUGUGCUUUAUCCAUUUCACUUCUGCAGGUACCAGUGUGGCUUAAGCAUUAUUAUUCUGAACUAAUUGGUUUGAGAUUUGACCGGGUGAGCUUACACCAUGGGCACAGAUAAGUCUCUCCCUUUUCUAUUCACCCCUUUUUCAUCUAUGUUGGAGUGCAUAUGUAUGCGUGUGAUUAAAUGGAAAAUGUAGGCACAUAUUUGGAAGUUAGAAUUGUGAUGCUGAAUCUAUUUGCAAGCUUGCAGCACUUUUUUAGUGGAAACAAGUUAAACAGGUUUAAGGAGCUUAUUAUAUGAAACUAAAUUCUGCAUGUUUUUUUUACAUAAUUUUAACUCUGUGCAGCACAAGAGCAGCCUGUGCUAUCUUUUUAUAUCUUUGUUCUCCAUAGCAGCCUGUUGAUUAUUUACUUGAAUGAAUAUUCACUACUUCGUUACUACUACAAUAGCAACACAAUAUAUACAAUUCGAUCA